rnacentral:lncRNA from 1 species
AAAUCACAGGGAGACACGCUGAAUCCCCUGAGACUCCCCUUCUGUGUGUACAAAAACCCUGUUGCUGGAAAUGGCCUUUCAGAAGCCGACAAGGGGCUGAGUGGAUGGUGCCCAGCCAGGCUGAACGGAGGACUCAUGCGGCCAGGGACGGAGAAAUUUUCCUUUUGCUGCCCAUGGGCCUCAGGUACAAAGAGUUGAGUUAAUUAUGUUUCUUGGCUCUAUGGAUACCUCCCUCCCCAGCAAAACCUAACCAUCUCACCAAUGCCUCCUGAGUGGGGUUAUUUACGGUUGUGACAAAACACACAUGUGCAUUUUAAAGUUAACUCAUAUUUAUAAAACUGUGCCAGAAUACAGCUCUUAUUCCAUUGUGAGAGUUCCGUCUUAAUCUUGUCAGCCUAAAUCAAGGCAAGCUCAAAUGACGAGACAUUUAUUCUGGGAUGGUAGAGGAAUUGCAAUUAAGGAAAUACUCAUCACAGUAAGCUGCAGGUGAGUCUGUUGAGGGCGUGGGGUGGGCUGUACAGACAGGCAAGGAACACAAAGGGGGAGGCCCAGCCAGAGUGCAAGCAGUAAGGUGACUAGCUUGAGGAUGCGGAGGGCGUCUUGGUGGAUGUUCACUGGUCAGGAGUUACAAUUCAGACUUGGCUCAUACCUUCCUCAUGCAUUGUGUUACGAAGAGAAGAGUCAUCUGGGAUUCACAAGGUUCACCCAAAAGACUUUCAGGCUCAUCCUCCCUCCCUGUUCUCACACCUCGUGGCGAUGGAAUGGAUGUAUUUUGAAAAGGUAG